rnacentral:rRNA from 1 species
AAAUUGAAGAGUUUGAUCAUGGCUCAGAUUGAACGCUGGCGGCAGGCCUAACACAUGCAAGUCGAACGGUGACAGGAAGCAGCUUGCUGCUUCGCUGACGAGUGGCGGACGGGUGAGUAAUGUCUGGGAAACUGCCUGAUGGAGGGGGAUAACUACUGGAAACGGUAGCUAAUACCGCAUAAUGUCGCAAGACCAAAGAGGGGGACCUUCGGGCCUCUUGCCAUCGGAUGUGCCCAGAUGGGAUUAGCUUGUUGGUGGGGUAACGGCUCACCAAGGCGACGAUCCCUAGCUGGUCUGAGAGGAUGACCAGCCACACUGGAACUGAGACACGGUCCAGACUCCUACGGGAGGCAGCAGUGGGGAAUAUUGCACAAUGGGCGCAAGCCUGAUGCAGCCAUGCCGCGUGUAUGAAGAAGGCCUUCGGGUUGUAAAGUACUUUCAGCGGGGAGGAAGGGAGUAAAGUUAAUACCUUUGCUCAUUGACGUUAUCCGCAGAAGAAGCACCGGCUAACUCCGUGCCAGCAGCCGCGGUAAUACGGAGGGUGCAAGCGUUAAUCGGAAUUACUGGGCGUAAAGCGCACGCAGGCGGUUUGUUAAGUCAGAUGUGAAAUCCCCGGGCUCAACCUGGGAACUGCAUCUGAUACUGGCAAGCUUGAGUCUCGUAGAGGGGGGUAGAAUUCCAGGUGUAGCGGUGAAAUGCGUAGAGAUCUGGAGGAAUACCGGUGGCGAAGGCGGCCCCCUGGACGAAGACUGACGCUCAGGUGCGAAAGCGUGGGGAGCAAACAGGAUUAGAUACCCUGGUAGUCCACGCCGUAAACGAUGUCGACUUGGAGGUUGUGCCCUUGAGGCGUGGCUUCCGGAGCUAACGCGUUAAGUCGACCGCCUGGGGAGUACGGCCGCAAGGUUAAAACUCAAAUGAAUUGACGGGGGCCCGCACAAGCGGUGGAGCAUGUGGUUUAAUUCGAUGCAACGCGAAGAACCUUACCUGGUCUUGACAUCCACGGAAGUUUUCAGAGAUGAGAAUGUGCCUUCGGGAACCGUGAGACAGGUGCUGCAUGGCUGUCGUCAGCUCGUGUUGUGAAAUGUUGGGUUAAGUCCCGCAACGAGCGCAACCCUUAUCCUUUGUUGCCAGCGGUCCGGCCGGGAACUCAAAGGAGACUGCCAGUGAUAAACUGGAGGAAGGUGGGGAUGACGUCAAGUCAUCAUGGCCCUUACGACCAGGGCUACACACGUGCUACAAUGGCGCAUACAAAGAGAAGCGACCUCGCGAGAGCAAGCGGACCUCAUAAAGUGCGUCGUAGUCCGGAUUGGAGUCUGCAACUCGACUCCAUGAAGUCGGAAUCGCUAGUAAUCGUGGAUCAGAAUGCCACGGUGAAUACGUUCCCGGGCCUUGUACACACCGCCCGUCACACCAUGGGAGUGGGUUGCAAAAGAAGUAGGUAGCUUAACCUUCGGGAGGGCGCUUACCACUUUGUGAUUCAUGACUGGGGUGAAGUCGUAACAAGGUAACCGUAGGGGAACCUGCGGUUGGAUCACCUCCUUACCUUAAAGAAGC